GCCCGAUUAGCUCAGCUGGUUAGAGCGUCGUACUAAUAUCCACUUCUGUAAAAAGAGUGAAUAAUUGGUAAAUGCGAAGGUCAACAGUUCAAUCCUGUUAUUGGGCA